rnacentral:rRNA from 1 species
GAUGAACGCUGGCGGCGUGCUUAACACAUGCAAGUCGAACGAAGACAUCUGAGUGCUUGCACUUGGAUGGACUGAGUGGCGGACGGGUGAGUAACGCGUGGGUAACCUGCCUUAUACAGGGGGAUAACAGUUGGAAACGACUGCUAAUACCGCAUAAGCGCACGGUAUCGCAUGAUACAGUGUGAAAAACUCCGGUGGUAUAAGAUGGACCCGCGUCUGAUUAGCUUGUUGGUGAGGUAACGGCCCACCAAGGCGACGAUCAGUAGCCGGCCUGAGAGGGUGAACGGCCACAUUGGGACUGAGACACGGCCCAGACUCCUACGGGAGGCAGCAGUGGGGAAUAUUGCACAAUGGGGGAAACCCUGAUGCAGCGACGCCGCGUGGAGGAAGAAGGUCUUCGGAUUGUAAACUCCUGUUGUUGGGGAAGAUAAUGACGGUACCCAACAAGGAAGUGACGGCUAACUACGUG